CCUACGGGCGGCAGCAGUGGGGAAUAUUGGACAAUGGGGGGAACCCUGAUCCAGCCAUGCCGCGUGUGUGAAGAAGGCCCUCGGGUUGUAAAGCACUUUCAGUGAGGAAGAACGCCUGGUGGUUAAUACCCAUCAGGAAAGACAUCACUCACAGAAGAAGCACCGGCUAACUCCGUGCCAGCAGCCGCGGUAAUACGGAGGGUGCGAGCGUUAAUCGGAAUUACUGGGCGUAAAGCGCGCGUAGGUGGCUUGAUAAGCCGGUUGUGAAAGCCCCGGGCUCAACCUGGGAACGGCAUCCGGAACUGUCAAGCUAGAGUGCAGGAGAGGAAGGUAGAAUUCCCGGUGUAGCGGUGAAAUGCGUAGAGAUCGGGAGGAAUACCAGUGGCGAAGGCGGACUUCUGGACUGACACUGACACUGAGGUGCGAAAGCGUGGGUAGCAAACAGGAUUAGAUACCCCGGUAGUC
rnacentral:rRNA from 1 species